UGGAAAUACCACGGGCCAAACAUGACCCCUUUGGAAGCGGAGGUAGUGUGGCCGAGUGGUCUAAGGCGCUGGAUUUAGGCUCCAGUCUCUAUGGAGGCGUGGGUUCAAAUCCCACCACUGCCAUAUUUAGCUCCUGGUAUUUGGAGUUUCUCUCCAUAAACUGGGCAUCAUGGCAGGAAGGUGCGAAAGAUCUUAGCUGUUAAAGAAACCUCCCUGUCAGGUAGUGUGGCCGAGUGGUCUAAGGCGCUGGAUUAAGGCUCCAGUCCCUCAGGGGGCGUGGGUUCGAAUCCCACCACUGCCAGUCGGACGUUUGCACCUCACCUGUCAGCUAACCUUCGAAAACAGUCUUUGCCAACUGAAAGUGUUGUCUCAGGCUACUUGCAGUCUCUAUCAGUGUGGGUUCAAAACCCACCACUGCGACCUUCAGCUCUUGGAAGUUGGAAUUUCUAGCCAUAAACACAGGAUAACGGCGGGGCGGAAGAUGGGCAAAGUCAUUCGAAAUUCCCAGCAAGGUCUGGUGUAACUGCUUGACUGCGCAUACCGUUACAGGGAAGCCUAUCAAGUCUUAAACCGGAAUGUGCACCUACUCAGCGCUUUUCCAUCAGUGUUUUCAGAAUGAAAGAAUUCACGUUCUUAUGACAAGGUCAUAUUUCAGAUUGAAACAUUUCCACUUUGGUGCGUUACUUCCAAGUAGAUUUGCAUAGGAAGAGCAGUUGCCAAUCCGGUCCUCCUUUUUGGAGGUCCACUUGAUUUACCGAAAGUCUCCAGGUGCUCUGACAUUGGUUUUUAAAUGUCAGGGAAAUGCGGGUGAAAGCCCUAGCUUCCUUAACGAAGAGCAGAGUGGCGCAGCGGAAGCGUGCUGGGCCCAUAACCCAGAGGUCGAUGGAUCGAAACCAUCCUCUGCUAAUCAUACCUUUUGACAUCCAGCAAGGCUCCAUGCAGUCUUCAUGUCAUGCAGUCCCACCGCUGCCAGUCAGACAUUUUGUCCUUCAUUGUUCAAGUAAACCUGUCAAGUACAUGGCCAGGCAAAACUGUCCCUUUCAGGGCCUCUGUAUGUAUUAGACUUGUACCACAAAAUGCAAGGCAACGUCCUCUGGUGAUCAUGAACCCGAUGUCAGUGGUGGUGUCCAAAGUUGAACAUUUGAGUUCUCAUGAUUUAGAAAUAGUGCUGGUCAAAGCAGAGACACCUGGGAAAUUCCUGCUCUUCACACUUGGUCGCUCAGUAAUGUUGGAGAGCAGCACUGUACAUUUCUGAUGUCGCUAUGAACAUUGACAGUUAAGAACUUGAUUGAUUUGCUGUUUCCUCCCUUGGAAAUACCACGGGCCAAACAUGACCCCUUUGGAAGCGGAGGUAGUGUGGCCGAGUGGUCUAAGGCGCUGGAUUUAGGCUCCAGUCUCUAUGGAGGCGUGGGUUCAAAUCCCACCACUGCCAUAUUUAGCUCCUGGUAUUUGGAGUUUCUCUCCAUAAACUGGGCAUCAUGGCAGGAAGGUGCGAAAGAUCUUAGCUGUUAAAGAAACCUCCCUGUCAGGUAGUGUGGCCGAGUGGUCUAAGGCGCUGGAUUAAGGCUCCAGUCCCUCAGGGGGCGUGGGUUCGAAUCCCACCACUGCCAGUCGGACGUUUGCACCUCACCUGUCAGCUAACCUUCGAAAA